AACAAUAUAACUAUCACAUAAGGCAUUAUUUCUAUGAUCCAAAAGCAUAAAAGUAUCAUUACUCUUCUUAUAAGCAAAAUCUUUCUUAUUAGGAAUAGUGAGAGUAAAGCAAUCAUUAUCAUCAUGGUAAUCAUCAUAUUUAGGAAGCAUAGUAUCAUCAAAGCAAAUUUUCUCCUCAAAAGUUGGGGGACUAAAAAUAUCAUGUUCAUCAAACCCGUCAUCCC
rnacentral:lncRNA from 1 species